UAACAUAUUAGUCAUAAACCAAGAAUUUUUAGCAGAUUCUCCUGAUUCAAUAACAUUAUCAAGAGGAGAUUUAGUGGAAGUUCUGAAAAUAAGUGAAGGCAAUCCCUUUCCAAAAGGAAAAUUACGUGAUUUAAAUCCUGAGCUCAAUUCGAGAUGGUACGUGAGAUUAUUCGGAUCAAAUGAGAAUUGCAAAGAAGGAUGGAUUCCAACCAAGAUAUUGGAUUUUUCACCCGAUUCUGUAUCCGUAUUUGGCAAUAAAGGAGAUGAUCCCGC